AACGAACGCUGGCGGCAGGCCUAACACAUGCAAGUCGAGCGAACCCUUCGGGGUUAGCGGCGGACGGGUUAGUAACGCGUGGGAAUAUACCCUUUGGUACGGAAUAGCCUCGGGAAACUGAGAGUAAUACCGUAUGUGCCCCUUGGGGGAAAGAUUUAUCGCCAAAGGAUUAGCCCGCGUUGGAUUAGGUAGUUGGUGGGGUAAUGGCCUACCAAGCCUACGAUCCAUAGCUGGUUUGAGAGGAUGAUCAGCAACACUGGGACUGAGACACGGCCCAGACUCCUACGGGAGGCAGCAGUGGGGAAUCUUAGACAAUGGGCGCAAGCCUGAUCUAGCCAUGCCGCGUGGACGAUGAAGGUCUUAGGGUUGUAAAGUCCUUUCAGAUGGGAAGAUAAUGACGGUACCAUCAGAAGAAGCCCCCGGCUAACUCCGUG
rnacentral:rRNA from 1 species